UACAGAGGUGGCAAGCGUUGUUCGGAAUUACUGGGCGUAAAGGGCGCGUAGGCGGCCUUCUAAGUCAGACGUGAAAUCCCCCGGCUUAACCUGGGAACUGCGUCUGAUACUGGAAGGCUUGAGUACAGAAGAGAAGAGUGGAAUUCCACGUGUAGCGGUGAAAUGCGUAGAGAUGUGGAGGAACACCAGUGGCGAAGGCGACUCUUUGGUCUGUAACUGACGCUGAGGCGCGAAAGCGUGGGGAGCAAACAGG
rnacentral:rRNA from 1 species